GGGCGCGUAGGUGGCUUGGUAAGCGUGUGGUGAAAGGCCGGGGCUCAACCCCGAGCAUGCCGGGGAUACUGGGGGGCUGGAGACAGGUAGAGGCCAGCGGAAUUCCGGGUGUAGCGGUGGAAUGCGUAGAGAUCCGGAAGAACACCGGAGGCGAAGGCGGCUGGCUGGACCUGAUCUGACGCUGAGGUGCGAAAGCGUGGGGAGCGAACAG
rnacentral:rRNA from 1 species